rnacentral:rRNA from 1 species
UAGGGGAUCUUCGGCAAUGGACGGAAGUCUGACCGAGCAACGCCGCGUGAGUGAAGAAGGUUUUCGGAUCGUAAAGCUCUGUUGUAAGAGAAGAACGAGUGUGAGAGUGGAAAGUUCACACUGUGACGGUAUCUUACCAGAAAGGGACGGCUAACUACGUGCCAGCAGCCGCGGUAAUACGUAGGUCCCGAGCGUUGUCCGGAUUUAUUGGGCGUAAAGCGAGCGCAGGCGGUUAGAUAAGUCUGAAGUUAAAGGCUGUGGCUUAACCAUAGUAGGCUUUGGAAACUGUUUAACUUGAGUGCAAGAGGGGAGAGUGGAAUUCCAUGUGUAGCGGUGAAAUGCGUAGAUAUAUGGAGGAACACCGGUGGCGAAAGCGGCUCUCUGGCUUGUAACUGACGCUGAGGCUCGAAAGCGUGGGGAGCAAACAGGAUUAGAUACCCUGGUAGUCCACGCUGUAAACGAUGAGUGCUAGGUGUUAGACCCUUUCCGGGGUUUAGUGCCGUAGCUAACGCAUUAAGCACUCCGCCUGGGGAGUACGACCGCAAGGUUG